GACGAACGCUGGCGGCGUGCUUAACACAUGCAAGUCGAACGGAAAGGCCCUGCUUUUGUGGGGUGCUCGAGUGGCGAACGGGUGAGUAACACGUGAGUAACCUGCCCUUGACUUUGGGAUAACUUCAGGAAACUGGGGCUAAUACCGGAUAGGAGCUCCUGCUGCAUGGUGGGGGUUGGAAAGUUUCGGCGGUUGGGGAUGGACUCGCGGCUUAUCAGCUUGUUGGUGGGGUAGUGGCUUACCAAGGCUUUGACGGGUAGCCGGCCUGAGAGGGUGACCGGCCACAUUGGGACUGAGAUACGGCCCAGACUCUUACGGGAGGCAACAGUGGGGAAUAUUGCAGAAUGGGCGGAAGCCUGAUGCAGCAACGCCGCGUGCGGGAUGACGGCCUUCGGGUUGUAAACCGCUUUCGCCUGUGACGAAGCGUGAGUGACGGUAAUGGGUAAAGAAGCACCGGCUAACUACGUG
rnacentral:rRNA from 1 species